UUGCGUGUUUUUUUUUUUUUUUUUUUGAGCAGACAACCGUGCUUUUUUUUUCUUAAUUGCACUGAUAUCUUGAUAUUUGUCAAACCAACAAAACUCAAAUUUCGCUU
rnacentral:lncRNA from 1 species